GCAGUGGUAGUUCAGUGGUAGAAGCCUUGCCUUCUAUGCAGGAAACCUGGGUUCAGUGUCCAGCCAAUGCA
rnacentral:tRNA from 1 species